rnacentral:tRNA from 2 species
GGGCGGAUGGCGAAACUGGUAGACGCACCACACUCAAAAUGUGGCGAGGUAACCCCUCAUGGGAGUUCGAUUCUCCCUCUGCCCA